rnacentral:rRNA from 1 species
GUCUAUGGCCAUAUCACUCUCAACAUGCCAAUCUUGUCUGAUUUUGGAAGCUAAGCAGGGUUGGGUCUGAUUAGUAUCUGGAUGGGAGACCACUUGGGAAUAUUGGGUACUAUAGGCU